UGACAUCUCUGAAGAUGGAUUUGUUAGUUUGCUGACUGAGAGUGGCGGCACCAAGGAUGAUCUGAGGCUCCCAACUGAUGAUGCUCUUCUUACGCAGCUGAAGGAUGGGUUUGCAGCUGGAAAGGAUCUGGUUCUUUCAGUGAUGUCUGCCAUGGGGGAGGAGCAGAUCUGUGCUGUCAAGGACAUUGCUCCCAAGUAGUCUGGGCCUAUCUUGAUACCCGUGCAUAGUCUCUCAAAGUGUUGGUUUUUAUCUGUGUCAGCAAUAGAUUUUGCAUGGGAAGUGUGUUGUGCCAGUUAUGGAACUCUCCUUUAUCCUGUCCGAACUAUUUUUAUUACUUGUGUGACAUGAGUUGAUUAUUGUUUGCUGAGUUAUGUGCCCUUUCUACCCUCAUAAGUGGAUGUAUCCAAUUCCAACUGCUGCUAUUGUUGAUAGUCG
rnacentral:misc_RNA from 1 species